CCUACGGGGGGCUGCAGUGGGGAAUCUUGCGCAAUGGGCGGAAGCCUGACGCAGCAACGCCGCGUGUGGGAAGACGGCCUUCGGGUUGUAAACCACUUUCAGGGGGGACGAAGCUUCCAGGGUUAAUAGCCCAUGGGGUGACGGUACCCCCAGAAGAAGCCCCGGCUAACUACGUGCCAGCAGCCGCGGUAAUACGUAGGGGGCGAGCGUUGUCCGGAAUCAUUGGGCGUAAAGCGCGUGUAGGCGGCUCGUUAAGUCCGGUGUGAAACCUUGGG
rnacentral:rRNA from 1 species